rnacentral:rRNA from 1 species
UACGGAGGUGGCAAGCGUUGUUCGGAAUUACUGGGCGUAAAGGGCGCGUAGGCGGUAUGUCAAGUCAGAUGUGAAAGCCCUGGGCUUAACCUGGGAACUGCAUCUGAAACUGGCAUACUUGAGUUCUGGAUGGGGUAGUGGAAUUCCCAGUGUAGCGGUGAAAUGCGUAGAUAUUGGGAGGAACACCUGCGGCGAAGGCGGCUACCUGGACAGAUACUGACGCUGAGGCGCGAAAGCCAGGGGAGCGAACGGG